rnacentral:rRNA from 1 species
ACCUCGGAGAGUUUGAUCCUGGCUCAGGACGAACGCUGGCGGCGUGCCUAAUACAUGCAAGUCGAGCGGACAGAAGGGAGCUUGCUCCCGGAUGUUAGCGGCGGACGGGUGAGUAACACGUGGGUAACCUGCCUGUAAGACUGGGAUAACUCCGGGAAACCGGAGCUAAUACCGGAUAGUUCCUUGAACCGCAUGGUUCAAGGAUGAAAGACGGUUUCGGCUGUCGCUUACAGAUGGACCCGCGGCGCAUUAGCUAGUUGGUGAGGUAACGGCUCACCAAGGCGACGAUGCGUAGCCGACC